GAUGAACGCUAGCGGCAGGCUUAAUACAUGCAAGUCGAGGGGCAGCACGGUUAGCAAUAACUGGUGGCGACCGGCGCACGGGUGCGUAACACGUAUACAAUCUACCUUAAACAGGGGGAUAGCCUUUCGAAAGAGAGAUUAAUACCCCGUAAUAAAUUGAACGGCAUCGUUUGAUUUUGAAAGCUCCGGCGGUUUGAGAUGAGUAUGCGUCUGAUUAGCUAGUUGGUGAGGUAACGGCUCACCAAGGCGACGAUCAGUAGGGGAUCUGAGAGGACUAACCCCCACACUGGUACUGAGACACGGACCAGACUCCUACGGGAGGCAGCAGUGGGGAAUAUUGCGCAAUGGGCGAAAGCCUGACGCAGCGACGCCGCGUGGGUGAUGAAGGCCUUCGGGUCGU
rnacentral:rRNA from 1 species